rnacentral:rRNA from 1 species
GUGUCAGCAGCCGCGGUAAAACGUAGGAGGCGAGCGUUAUCCGGAUUUACUGGGUGUAAAGCGCGAGCAGGCGGCCGUGUAAGUGGUGUGUGAAAGCGCCCGGCUCAACCGGGCGAGGACGGACCAGACUGCACGGCUGGAGGCAGGGAGAGGCAGACGGAAUUCCGGGUGUAGUGGUGAAAUGCGUAGAGAUCCGGAGGAACACCAGUGGCGAAGGCGGUCUGCUAGGCCUGACCUGACGCUCAGGCGCGAAAGCAUGGGGAGCAAACGGGAUUAGAAACCCCGGUAGUCC